GAUCAUGGCUCAGGAUGAACGCUGGCGGCGUGCUUAACACAUGCAAGUCGAACGGAACUACUUUGAUGAGAUUCUUCGGAAAGGAUUUGAUUUAGUUUAGUGGCGGACGGGUGAGUAACGCGUGGGUAACCUGCCUCAUACAGGGGGAUAACAGUUGGAAACGGCUGUUAAUACCGCAUAAGCGCACAGUACCGCAUGGUACAGUGUGAAAAACUCCGGUGGUAUGAGAUGGACCCGCGUUGGAUUAG
rnacentral:rRNA from 1 species